UACGCUUGCGCGAGCAUGAAUUGUCAAUUAGGAAUAAAGCGAAUGGGCACCUUCCUGCUCAUCGCUUGGCGUGC
rnacentral:lncRNA from 1 species